GUCCCCCUAGUAUAAUAGUACAAGUGACUUCCAAUCACUAAGUUUUAGACUCGUAUCUAAAGGAGGAUA
rnacentral:tRNA from 1 species